AUUGAACGCUGGCGGCAUGCUUUACACAUGCAAGUCGAACGGUAACAGGGUGCUCGCACCGCUGACGAGUGGCGAACGGGUGAGUAAUGCGUCGGAACGUGCCGAGUAGUGGGGGAUAACGCAGCGAAAGUUGUGCUAAUACCGCAUACGUACUGAGGUAGAAAGUGGGGGACCUUCGGGCCUCACGCUAUUCGAGCGGCCGACGUCUGAUUAGCUAGUAGGUGAGGUAAAGGCUCACCUAGGCGACGAUCAGUAGCGGGUCUGAGAGGAUGAUCCGCCACACUGGGACUGAGACACGGCCCAGACUCCUACGGGAGGCAGCAGUGGGGAAUUUUGGACAAUGGGCGAAAGCCUGAUCCAGCCAUGCCGCGUGUCUGAAGAAGGCCUUCGGGUUGUAAAGGACUUUUGCCGGGGAGGAAAUCCCCAGCGUUAAUACCGCUGGGGGAUGACAGUACCUGAAGAAUAAGCACCGGCUAACUACGUGCCAGCCGCCGCGGUAA
rnacentral:rRNA from 1 species